rnacentral:rRNA from 1 species
UAGGGAAUUUUCGGGCAAUGGGGGCGCAAGCCUGACCGAGCAACGCCGCGUGAGUGAUGAAGUUUUUCGGAAUGUAAAGCUCUGUUGCACGGGACGAACGGAGAGGGAGGACCCUCUUGUGACGGUACCGUGCGAGGAAGCCACGGCUAACUACGUGCCAGCAGCCGCGGUAAUACGUAGGUGGCGAGCGUUAUCCGGAAUUAUUGGGCGUAAAGGGAGCGCAGGCGGGAAGGUAAGUCUAUCUUAAAAGUGCGGGGCUCAACCCCGUGAGGGGAUGGAAACUAUCUUUCUUGAGUGCAGGAGAGGAAAGCGGAAUUCCUAGUGUAGCGGUGAAAUGCGUAGAUAUUAGGAGGAACACCAGUGGCGAAGGCGGCUUUCUGGACUGUAACUGACGCUGAGGCUCGAAAGCGUGGGGAGCGAACAGGAUUAGAUACCCUGGUAGU